UUGAUUUCUUGCCUUUCGGCUCUCGACGUUUACGACACGAGAGCGUUUUUGGUUAAUAAGUUGAUAAAGUAUCAAAAAAUAAACAUGAGUUACUCCAAGUUUGACCUUACUUUUAAAAUAGGUCAAUAUCUAGAUCGGCAUCUAGUUUUUCCUCUACUUGAGUUCUUAGCAGCAAAAGAGACAUAUGAUCAAUCUGAGCUACUACAGGCUAAGUUGGAAAUCCUAAGUAAAACCAACAUGAUAGAUUAUGUGAUUGAUAUAAGGAAAAUGUUGUAUCCUGAUGAAGACACACCUGAGGAAAUUAAAUCACGCAGAGGUGUUGUUUUGUCACAAUUGCAAGAAUUACAAGAUGCUGUAGAGCCAGUACUUCGGUUAAUGCAAAGAGAUGAUGUCAUGAAGACAGUUGAGACCAUGAGGGAUCCCAAAACUCUUAUAAAUUACUUGACAACUAAUAAGGAGUUUGAGUUCAAAAUUGAUAUGAUCGACAGUAUGUAUCGCUUGGCCAAAUACAGAUAUGAAUGUGGUAAUUAUGUGGAGUCUGCAUCAUACCUAUACUUUUGCCAAUUGGUGAUGUCCCCUACAGAGAAGAAUUACUUGCCUGUACUUUGGGGGAAAUUGGCUAGUGAAAUUCUAGUCCAAAACUGGGAUGGAGCUUUAGAUGAUUUGAACAAGCUUCGUGAAUUCAUCGAUAAUGGUGCGGGAGGCGCCACUGCUACUAAUAUGCAAGCAUUGCAACAACGUACCUGGCUGGUCCACUGGUCACUAUUUGUGUUCUUCAACCACGCCAAGGGACGUGACCUCAUUAUUGAAACAUUCUUAUACAGACCCUUGUAUUUGAACGCUAUUCAAACCAUGUGUCCUCACAUACUUCGUUACUUAGCAACAGCAGUCAUUAUCAAUCGUUCACGUAGAAACGCUCUGAAGGAUCUUGUUAAGGUCAUCCAACAGGAAGCCUACACAUACAGGGAUCCUAUCACUGAGUUUAUUGAACAUCUGUAUGUGAAUUUUGAUUUUGAAGCAGCUCGUAGGAAGUUAAAUCAGUGCCAAGCUGUACUUUCAACAGAUUUCUUCCUCAUUGCUUGUCUGGAGGAAUUCGUUGAAAACGCCAGAUUGAUGAUUUUCGAAACUUUCUGCCGCAUCCAUCAAGUUAUCAGCAUAGGUAUGUUAGCAGAGAACUUGAGUAUGCAGCCAGAUGAAGCCGAAUGUUGGAUCGUGAACCUGAUCCGUAACGCGCGUUUGGACGCCAAGAUAGAUUCGAAAUUAGGUCAUGUGGUGAUGGGGGCUCAACCACUCUCUCCAUACCAGCAGCUUGUUGAACGUAUCGACUCUCUUUCUGUACGCUCAGAAGCUUUAACGUCCUUGGUUGAAAGAAAACAGAAAGUGCGCACAGAUGUGAGUUCUACUGUAUUACAUUUUUUACAUAUAGGUUAAUUUGAAGUUCCUUUGAAAUUAAAUAUUAUACUUUCAUCAAGUACUAGUAUACUUUGGUUAAUAGUUAUAAGCAAUCAAAACAAGCAUUCUGACUGACAUUUCUAGCAGUAGGUUUGUUUUACUAAAGGUCCUGAGGGAUGUAAUAAAAUAUUUAUACCUAAAAUAAUUUAUCCCCAUCUCAGGAUUUUUGUAGAAGUUUUGUUUUAUCCAAAAAACAUCUUAUUCUUUAGUUCUGACGAUAAUAACAAUUCAUCAUUAAAAAACUCUGUAUGCAUUUGUAAUGACAAAUUUCUCAAAUUUCAGAUACGUUGGGGAGGUCAAGAAUUCUAACUUGGAAGUAUGAUACACACAAAUAUUUAUCUUUAUAAAUGACUUUUAUAAAAUAUAGAUAUUCACACAAA